rnacentral:rRNA from 2 species
UCAGGUAGGGAUACCCGCUGAACUUAAGCAUA